rnacentral:misc_RNA from 1 species
GAUGAGAACGUAGUGAAAUGCGAUAAGUAGUGUGAAUUGCAGAAUUCAGUGAAUCAUCGAAUCUUUGAACGCACAUUGCGCCCCUUGGUAUCCCGAGGGGCAUGCCUGUUCGAGCGUCAUUUCACCACUCAAGCCUGGCUUGGUGUUGGGGGACGUCCUCUUUGGGGACGCGCCUCGAAACGCUCGGCGGCGUGGCACCGGCUUUAAGCGUAGCAGAAUCUUUCGCUUUGGAAGUCGGGGCCCCGUCUGCCGGAAGACCUGCUCGCAAGGUUGACCUCGGAUCAGGCAGGGAUACCCGCUGAACUUAAGCAUAUCAAUAAGCGGAGGA